GCGGCUGGUAGCAGUGGCCAUAUUGGCCUCCGAAGCCAAGGGUCGUGGGUUCGAUCCCCGCCAGCCGCG
rnacentral:tRNA from 1 species